ACUAAGCGUACACGGUGGAUGCCCUGGCAGUCAGAGGCGAUGAAGGACGUGCUAAUCUGCGAUAAGCGUCGGUAAGGUGAUAUGAACCGUUAUAACCGGCGAUUUCCGAAUGGGGAAACCCAGUGUGAUUCGUCACACUAUCAUUAACUGAAUCCAUAGGUUAAUGAGGCGAACCGGGGGAACUGAAACAUCUAAGUACCCCGAGGAAAAGAAAUCAACCGAGAUUCCCCCAGUAGCGGCGAGCGAACGGGGAGCAGCCCAGAGCCUGAAUCAGUGUGUGUGUUAGUGGAAGCGUCUGGAAAGGCGCGCGAUACAGGGUGACAGCCCCGUACACAAAAAUGCACAUGCUGUGAGCUCGAUGAGUAGGGCGGGACACGUGGUAUCCUGUCUGAAUAUGGGGGGACCAUCCUCCAAGGCUAAAUACUCCUGACUGACCGAUAGUGAACCAGUACCGUGAGGGAAAGGCGAAAAGAACCCCGGCGAGGGGAGUGAAAAAGAACCUGAAACCGUGUACGUACAAGCAGUGGGAGCACGCUUAGGCGUGUGACUGCGUACCUUUUGUAUAAUGGGUCAGCGACUUAUAUUCUGUAGCAAGGUUAACCGAAUAGGGGAGCCGAAGGGAAACCGAGUCUUAACUGGGCGUUAAGUUGCAGGGUAUAGACCCGAAACCCGGUGAUCUAGCCAUGGGCAGGUUGAAGGUUGGGUAACACUAACUGGAGGACCGAACCGACUAAUGUUGAAAAAUUAGCGGAUGACUUGUGGCUGGGGGUGAAAGGCCAAUCAAACCGGGAGAUAGCUGGUUCUCCCCGAAAGCUAUUUAGGUAGCGCCUCGUGAAUUCAUCUCCGGGGGUAGAGCACUGUUUCGGCAAGGGGGUCAUCCCGACUUACCAACCCGAUGCAAACUGCGAAUACCGGAGAAUGUUAUCACGGGAGACACACGGCGGGUGCUAACGUCCGUCGUGAAGAGGGAAACAACCCAGACCGCCAGCUAAGGUCCCAAAGUCAUGGUUAAGUGGGAAACGAUGUGGGAAGGCCCAGACAGCCAGGAUGUUGGCUUAGAAGCAGCCAUCAUUUAAAGAAAGCGUAAUAGCUCACUGGUCGAGUCGGCCUGCGCGGAAGAUGUAACGGGGCUAAACCAUGCACCGAAGCUGCGGCAGCGACGCUUAUGCGUUGUUGGGUAGGGGAGCGUUCUGUAAGCCUGUGAAGGUGUGCUGUGAGGCAUGCUGGAGGUAUCAGAAGUGCGAAUGCUGACAUAAGUAACGAUAAAGCGGGUGAAAAGCCCGCUCGCCGGAAGACCAAGGGUUCCUGUCCAACGUUAAUCGGGGCAGGGUGAGUCGACCCCUAAGGCGAGGCCGAAAGGCGUAGUCGAUGGGAAACAGGUUAAUAUUCCUGUACUUGGUGUUACUGCGAAGGGGGGACGGAGAAGGCUAUGUUGGCCGGGCGACGGUUGUCCCGGUUUAAGCGUGUAGGCUGGUUUUCCAGGCAAAUCCGGAAAAUCAAGGCUGAGGCGUGAUGACGAGGCACUACGGUGCUGAAGCAACAAAUGCCCUGCUUCCAGGAAAAGCCUCUAAGCAUCAGGUAACAUCAAAUCGUACCCCAAACCGACACAGGUGGUCAGGUAGAGAAUACCAAGGCGCUUGAGAGAACUCGGGUGAAGGAACUAGGCAAAAUGGUGCCGUAACUUCGGGAGAAGGCACGCUGAUAUGUAGGUGAAGUCCCUCGCGGAUGGAGCUGAAAUCAGUCGAAGAUACCAGCUGGCUGCAACUGUUUAUUAAAAACACAGCACUGUGCAAACACGAAAGUGGACGUAUACGGUGUGACGCCUGCCCGGUGCCGGAAGGUUAAUUGAUGGGGUCAGCGCAAGCGAAGCUCUUGAUCGAAGCCCCGGUAAACGGCGGCCGUAACUAUAACGGUCCUAAGGUAGCGAAAUUCCUUGUCGGGUAAGUUCCGACCUGCACGAAUGGCGUAAUGAUGGCCAGGCUGUCUCCACCCGAGACUCAGUGAAAUUGAACUCGCUGUGAAGAUGCAGUGUACCCGCGGCAAGACGGAAAGACCCCGUGAACCUUUACUAUAGCUUGACACUGAACAUUGAGCCUUGAUGUGUAGGAUAGGUGGGAGGCUUUGAAGUGUGGACGCCAGUCUGCAUGGAGCCGACCUUGAAAUACCACCCUUUAAUGUUUGAUGUUCUAACGUUGACCCGUAAUCCGGGUUGCGGACAGUGUCUGGUGGGUAGUUUGACUGGGGCGGUCUCCUCCUAAAGAGUAACGGAGGAGCACGAAGGUUGGCUAAUCCUGGUCGGACAUCAGGAGGUUAGUGCAAUGGCAUAAGCCAGCUUGACUGCGAGCGUGACGGCGCGAGCAGGUGCGAAAGCAGGUCAUAGUGAUCCGGUGGUUCUGAAUGGAAGGGCCAUCGCUCAACGGAUAAAAGGUACUCCGGGGAUAACAGGCUGAUACCGCCCAAGAGUUCAUAUCGACGGCGGUGUUUGGCACCUCGAUGUCGGCUCAUCACAUCCUGGGGCUGAAGUAGGUCCCAAGGGUAUGGCUGUUCGCCAUUUAAAGUGGUACGCGAGCUGGGUUUAGAACGUCGUGAGACAGUUCGGUCCCUAUCUGCCGUGGGCGCUGGAGAACUGAGGGGGGCUGCUCCUAGUACGAGAGGACCGGAGUGGACGCAUCACUGGUGUUCGGGUUGUCAUGCCAAUGGCACUGCCCGGUAGCUAAAUGCGGAAGAGAUAAGUGCUGAAAGCAUCUAAGCACGAAACUUGCCCCGAGAUGAGUUCUCCCUGACUCCUUGAGAGUCCUGAAGGAACGUUGAAGACGACGACGUUGAUAGGCCGGGUGUGUAAGCGCAGCGAUGCGUUGAGCUAACCGGUACUAAUGAACCGUGAGGCUUAACC
rnacentral:rRNA from 1 species